GCUCCCUUAGCUCAGUUGGUUAGAGCCUUUGGGGUAGCCGGUUCAAGCCCGGCAGGGGGCA
rnacentral:tRNA from 1 species